rnacentral:lncRNA from 1 species
AUAAAUUUCAUAUUCUACAACACAUAUAAUCUAUUGACUAAAUGUAACUAAUGAUGAACCUCCAUACAAACAACCCCACUAAAAAGUGGGCAAAGGACAUAAACAGACACUUUUCAAAAGACAUACAAGUGGCCAAAAAGCAUAUGAAAAACAGCUCAAUAUCACUGAUUAGAGAAAUGCAAAUCGAAACCACAAUGAGAUACCAUCUCACACCAGUCAGAAUAGCUAUUAUUAAAAACUCAAAAAAUAACAGCUGCUGGCAAGGUUGCAGAAAAAAGGGAAUGCUUACACACUCUUGGUGGGAGUGUAAAUUAGUUCAACCAUUGUGGAAAGCAGAGUGGCGAUUCCUCAAAGAGCUAAAAACAGAACUACCAUUUGACCCAGCAAUCCCAUUACAUUCCCAAAGGAAUAUAAAUCAUUCUACCAUAAAGAUACAUGCACACAAAUAUUCACUGCAGCACUAUUCACAAUAGCAAAGACAUGGAAUCAACCUAAUACCUGAUAUGGUCUGGCUUUGUGUCCCCACCCACAUCUCAUCUCAAAUUGUAAUCCCCACGUGUUGGAAGAGGGGCCUGGUGGGAGGUAAUUGGAUCAUGGGGUAGAUUUCCCUCUUGCUGUUCUGUUGAUAGUGAAUUCUCAUGAGAUCUGGUUGUUUGAAAGUGUGUAGCACCUCCCCCUUUGUGCUAUCUCUCUCCUGCUGCCAUGUAAGAUGUGCCUUGCUUCCCCUUUGCCUUCUGCCAUGAUUGUAAAUUUCCUGUGGCCUCCUAGCCAUGCUUCCUAUACAGCCUACAGCACUGUAAGUUAAUUAAACCUCUUUUCUUCAUAAAUUACCCAAUCUCAGGUA